rnacentral:rRNA from 1 species
GAUGAACGCUGGCGGCGUGCUUAACACAUGCAAGUCGAACGAUGACCCGGUGCUUGCACCGGUGAUUAGUGGCGAACGGGUGAGUAACACGUGAGUAACCUGCCCUUAACUCUGGGAUAAGCCUGGGAAACCGGGUCUAAUACCGGAUAUGACCUCCUGCCGCAUGGUGGGGGGUGAAAGCUUUUUUGUGGUUUUGGAUGGACUCGCGGCCUAUCAGCUUGUUGGCGAGGUAAUGGCUCACCAAGGCGACGACGGGUAGCCGGCCUGAGAGGGUGACCGGCCACACUGGGACUGAGACACGGCCCAGACUCCUACGGGAGGCAGCAGUGGGGAAUAUUGCACAAUGGGCGCAAGCCUGAUGCAGCGACGCCGCGUGAGGGAUGACGGCC